rnacentral:lncRNA from 1 species
GUCCCCUUAAUAAUUUUUUUUUUUGAGAUCUAAAGAUUAAGCAACACGAACACCGCCAAAAAUCAAAAAAGUUCUCCGAAAGCAGUUCCUACUCCACUAUAGCGCCACUCUUGGCAAGUGAAAUACAGUGAUACAACAACUUCAAUAAUGUCUUAAUCGAUUAAGAACAACUGGAUUAUGGUUACGAUAUUAAUUACAAUGAAUUCCGU